rnacentral:antisense_RNA from 1 species
AGAGUGCAUGGAAUCAUGAUUUACAGCUCCCCUGGGCUUCACGGGGAAGAGAGGGAUGCUGGAUGAAGAGGAGGCUUCACAGAGUUGGUCACAUAAGUGGGAAGUCAAAAAACCAACCAUAGAAGACACUGAAGAGUGAAGGGCUGACCACUGUGGGGAGGAAGUGACUAGGGAAGUUCCGACUGCUGAGGUCACCCCAUCCGUGAGGCCACUCCAUCCAUGGGACAACAGCCCAGCUUAAAGAAAGAAAGGAGGAAAAAAACCCUGCUGGACGUUGGAUGUACAGCCAAACACCUGGGUUGGGAUCUGAAUGCAGAAAACAGGCAUGGAAUGCCAGGAACGCAGCACCUGUGGCUAAGUUGUGGUCUCACAGGCAAAUACUUUUUAAGAAUCUGCUGCAUGCCAGGCCUGUGCUAUGCCACCGUGUUAAGAAGAAACCAAGUAGCCAUAGCCACAUCAGGGAGAGUCAUCUCUCCAGG